GAUAGUUAAUUUUUGCUUAUAUACUUGCUAAAGAAGCCCGUAGAAAAUGUUGUAAUUUUAUGAGCAGAAUAACCUACUUUAACCAACUGAUUUAAUUUCAAAUUCAGUGGUAGGCGCGAUUGGACUCGAACCAACGACCCCCACCA
rnacentral:antisense_RNA from 1 species